UACGAACCGUCCAAACGUUAUUCGGAUUUAUUGGGCUUAAAGGGUAUGUAGGCGGCCCUUCAAGUCUGGUGUGAAAGCCCUCGGCUCAACCGAGGAACUGCGCCUGAUACUGUGGGGCUUGAGGGAGACAGAGGUAAGCGGAACUGAUGGUGGAGCGGUGAAAUGCGUUGAUAUCAUCAGGAACACCAGUGGCGAAAGCGGCUUACUGGGUCUCUUCUGACGCUGAGAUACGAAAGCUAGGGGAGCGAACGGG
rnacentral:rRNA from 1 species